rnacentral:rRNA from 1 species
AUUGAACGCUGGCGGCAGGCCUAACACAUGCAAGUCGAACGAGUGGCGGACGGGUGAGUAAUGUCUGGGAAACUGCCUGAUGGAUGGGGACAACUACUGGAAACGGUAGCUAAUACCGCAUACCAGCGCAUGUGCCCAGAUGGGAUUAGCUUGUUGGUGGGGUAACGGCUUACCAAGGCGACGAUCCCUAGCUGGUCUGAGAGGAUGACCAGCCACACUGGAACUGAGACACGGUCCAGACUCCUACGGGAGGCAGCAGUGGGGAAUAUUGCACAAUGGGCGCAAGCCUGAUGCAGCCAUGCCGCGUGUAUGAAGAAGGUCUUCGGAUUGUAAAGCACUUUAAGUUGGGAGGCGUUACCAACAGAAUAAGCACCGGCUAACUUCGUGCCAGCAGCCGCGGUAAUAC